rnacentral:tRNA from 1 species
AAAUAGCUUAAUGGUAGAGCAUAACUUUGCUAAGGCUGAGGUCGAGGGUUCAAGUCCCUCCUU